rnacentral:ncRNA from 1 species
CAAUGGUACUAUGAUAGUUUAAAAGGGAAAAAGGUGAGAGUCCUUUACAGUCCCGCUGCUGUAUUCCAUCUUUUUAUGUAUGACAUUUAGCCACUGAUUUAGGGAAGGCGUCGUAUGUUGAUGGUGAGUCAGAAGACCUGCCUUGCAUUAAU